rnacentral:rRNA from 1 species
GACGUAGGAGGCGAGCGUUGUCCGGAUUCAUUGGGCGUAAAGAGCGCGCAGGCGGCUUGGUAAGUCGGACGUGAAAUCCCGAGGCUCAACCUCGGGUCUGCAUCCGAUACUGCCCGGCUAGAGGUAGGUAGGGGAGAUCGGAAUUCCUGGUGUAGCGGUGAAAUGCGCAGAUAUCAGGAGGAACACCGGUGGCGAAGGCGGAUCUCUGGGCCUUACCUGACGCUCAGGCGCGAAAGCUACGGGAGCGAACUGG